AUUGAACGCUGGCGGCAGGCCUAACACAUGCAAGUCGAGCGAGCGGCGGACGGGUGAGUAAUGUCUGGGAAACUGCCUGAUGGAGGGGGAUAACUACUGGAAACGGUAGCUAAUACCGCAUACCAUCAGAUGUGCCCAGAUGGGAUUAGCUAGUUGGUGGGGUAAUGGCUCACCUAGGCGACGAUCCCUAGAGGGUCUGAGAGGAUGAGCAGCCACACUGGAACUGAGACACGGUCCAGACUCCUACGGGAGGCAGCAGUGGGGAAUAUUGGACAAUGGGCGCAAGCCUGAUGCAGCCAUGCCGCGUGUGUGAAGAAGGCCUUCGGUUUGUAAAGCGCUUUCAGCGGGGAGGCGUUACCCGCAGAAGAAGCACCGGCUAACGCCGAGCCAGCAGCCGCGGUAAUUC
rnacentral:rRNA from 1 species